rnacentral:rRNA from 1 species
UACGUAGGGGGCAAGCGUUGUCCGGAAUCAUUGGGCGUAAAGCGCGUGUAGGCGGCCACGUUAGUCCGUUCUGAAAGCCCGGGACUCAACCCCGGGAGGCGGAUGGAUACUGCGUGGCUCGAGUCCGGAAGAGGCGAGUGGAAUUCCUGGUGUAGCGGUGAAAUGCGCAGAUAUCAGGAGGAGCGCCGAUGGCGAAGGCAGCUCGCUGGGACGUGACUGACGCUGAGACGCGAAAGCGUGGGGAGCAAACAGG